GGGUCAGUAGCUCAGUUGGUAGAGCAGGAGCCUCUUAAGCUCUUGGUCGUGGGUUCGAGCCCCACCUGACCCA
rnacentral:tRNA from 1 species